GUAACAAGGACACCCGGCACUAAGCACAAACAUUCGCUUUCAAAGAGGAACAAAGAGAAACGCCUUCAUGCCAGGUGCAGGUCCGCCUCAAUGCUCUGCUAAAUUUCUCGUCCUGAUUGCACGCUGAGGACGAGUGGCCAAGGCGUAGCGAGGAUGGCGCUGCACACCAGAUCGAGCGCUUUUGUGCUAUUUUCAGCGGCGUCGCUGGCUCUCCUGGUCCCCUCGUCCAGCCAGAACUUGGAGGAGCUCCACAGCCUCUUCCAACAUGCUGUCGGCAACAACGAGACAGAGUCGGGCGGCCCUAGCGACCCGUUU